UUCCUCAACAGCUAGCCCAACCCACACCCACCAACAAACCACAUUAAUAUCCUCUAAUGCACUUCCCCAAAACAUCAAACCAUUUUUCCACCCAAGUAUAG
rnacentral:rRNA from 1 species